rnacentral:lncRNA from 1 species
AGAAAAUAUGUAUAUAUGUAUAUAUAUGUGUAAUGAAAGAGCAGAAAAAAAAAGAAAAAAAAUAGAGGAAGAGAGCUGAGUUCGAGUGGGUGAGAGAGGAGGCUGAGCUGAGUGAGGAUUACGGCCGAAAGAGAGAAGUGAGGGGAGGAGCCUUGGCCACGUGAAGAGGAGGAUUAAGCGGCAGUCGAGGAGGUGAGACACGGCAGAAAGGGAGACGUCGCGGGAAGAAGAGGAAAAAGAAAAGAAAAAGAAAGAAGAAGAAGAAAGAAAGAAAGAAAAAAAAAGGGAAGAGAAGAAGAAUGAGAAGAAGACAGAGAAAAAUCAUGGUUGGGUAGAGAGAGAAAGAGGAGAGAGAGAGAGAAAAAAAGGAAGAAGAAGAAGAAUAAAGGAAAAAGAAAGAAUAAAGAAAAAAAGAAGAAAAAUAGGAGUUACAGGAAAGGAGGAAGAAAAAGAACAAAAAGAAAG